AGAGUUAGCUAUUUUUCCUUGACAUUCAUGAGUAUGUUCAUAUUUACCUCGGUGUGAAAGUCCUUCACAAGUUUGGGCAGCAACUUCCUUUGGGAAGCUCUCACCGUAAGGUGUUUGGACCUUAGGUUUUAGAUUUAUUGGGUUAAGUGUGGAUACCAAUUGGCGUAGCCUUUCAACCUGCCAUUUCAUGUCAUCAAUAUUGUCAGUGAUGUGGUCAAACGUGGCAUCGAUAUUGGUGGAAUCCAUGGUACUUAAAAUAAAAAAAAACAACGAAUAACAAAACAACAAACUUGUUAGCUCAAAAAUGCCUCACCACACUCUCACUCUCGAUUUUUACCUCACACUUAAUUUCACAAGUAUUGAAAGUCGGCUUGUACUUCGUGAGUGAUUGAGGGUCAAGUCUACUCUUGACCGGAAUAGAUUUUCGUUUAAGUUGACUCAAAGAAAAUUUGUUUACGGACUUGAACCAACAAGAUAUAAAGAAUUCACAAAAGAUAAAAGCACACGGUAGGGAAUCAAUAUACUCAUAUGUAGGUAAGCUACUACUCACACUCAACGGCUUAUUUGUCUCGCGGUCAUCAUUCAUAUGCACUAAGGUGUAAGAUUUAGCUAUUUUACCUUGACUUUCAUGAGUAUGUUCGUUUUUACCUCGGUGUAAGAGUCCUUCACAAGCUUGGGCAACAACUUCCUCUAAAAAAUUCUCAUCGCAAAGUGCUUGCACAAUUGAAUUUUGUGGGAAGAGUUUGGGUAGCAAUUGACAUAUAAUUUCAAUGUGUCGUUUCAUAUCUUCAAUAUUGUCAUCUAUGCGAUCAAAUGUGACAUUGAAAUUAUGGGAAGCCAUUGUACCUACCAAAAAGACACAACAAACAAGGAAAAAAAACAAAUUUGUUAGAUAAAAAAGGCCUCACCACACUCUCACUCUCAGUUUCACCUCGCACUUGGUUUCAUAAGUGUUGAAAGUUGGCUUGUACUUCAUGAGUGAUUGAGGGUCGGGCCGACUCUUGUUCAGAAUGGAUUUUUGUUUGAAACUCAAAUGAAAUCUUGUAGGACUUGAUUCAAGAACUAACAAGGAAUUCAAAAUGAGAAAAACACACAACAAAUGUAAACAUGAACAAAUGGAUACAAAACUAACUUACAAGCUAGUAGAAGAUUACUAGAUUGUCAAUUAGUGUUUGACCCAAAAAAAUGAAACUAAAAAAUCUAAAAUUUGAGCUUAAUUAUGUUGCGGUGAACAGUAAAAUGUGAUGAUGAGGCAGCCACGUAAUUGGUCAUGGUCCCCGCACAAUUCUUGGUCAAUUUUUCAAUUUGGACUUUGGUGGAAUUUAUUUAAGGAGGGAAAUUCAAACAAGUCUUUUAGCCCCUUUUCAAUUCCAAGUUUUCAAGACUUGACUUUCUUGUCUUUUCUCCUCAAAACAUGGAAUUUGGUUUCCCUUAAAUCAUGGAAAGUUGGUGAGAAGUGAUGUAAAGCUUUUUUGGUGGUUGGGGGUCUUUCAAGACUAACAAUUACUUACACCUUUUUCUUCACCUUUUUGGAUCAAAUAAGCACUUUAUUUUUUUUUUAACAAGGUAUGAAGAUAGUGAUGAACAUCAAGAACAACAACAACAUUCACCAAGAACAACAACAACAAUUCCAAGAAUAACAAUAAUCUUCCAAGAACACCAACAAUUCCUCUUUCACGUCCCACUCUAUAUCCACAACAAUAUUAUCUUCAACACUUGGCCAAGACAACUACAACUGCAAUUAAAUGGUUCUUAGGCCACCAAUUAACAACAAAAUCACGUGGUCAAGCUAAGAACAACAACAAGGUGAAGACCAUACACCCAAAGUGGAGCCACAACAACAAAAAUGUCCAAAACACUUUCAAGUCACCACAACAAUGGUCAAGAUUAUAAGCUCAACAUUAGAUCUAGUCACUUUUAGUGUCGGUGAGAAAGGAACCAACACUAGAAACACACUAAACAAGUAAAAGACUACUAAAUCUAGUCACAAAACUAACAAAUCUUGGCCCACAACAAAAACACAAUUUUGGCCAAGAACACAACCACAGACAGAUUUGCUUCUUCUUUUUUUUUUUCAGCUUUUCAACAAUUUUUUUUUAAUUUUCUAACAAGCAAGCCCAAGAUUGAUCUUGUAGGAAUAAGAUCUAGCC
rnacentral:lncRNA from 1 species